UAGAUUAUGAGCUUACUGAUUCAAAGCUCUCAUGAGAUCUCGUUGGCAUGCCCUACCAAAUGAAAAGGAAGUCGCAGGAGCAAGUUAAGAGUUAGAAUUCCCCGACUCCGUUCCUAUUUAUUAGCCUUCUUUCUACUUCAACAUCAACUUCGUUAGCUAACUAAUUGAUCCUCGCCCAUCUUUGGCUGCCUGUUAGGAGGAUUAUGUUGGC
rnacentral:lncRNA from 1 species